CAAAUCGGACUAGGAUAUAGCUGGUUUUCUGCGAAAUCUAUUUAGGUAGAUAGCUUAAUAAGGAUGUUUAUUAGUGGGUAUAGCACUGAAUAUCUAAUAUUAUUUGAAGGGAGUAUGAAAGUACUUACUUUGGAUAUUUAAUCUCAGAAUAACUAAUAGACGAAAGAUGAUUAAGUUGUCAGACUUUUUGCGAUAAGGUGGGAAGUCAAGAG
rnacentral:rRNA from 1 species